UACGUAGGGUGCAAGCGUUAUCCGGAAUUAUUGGGCGUAAAGAGCUCGUAGGCGGUUUGUCGCGUCUGCUGUGAAAACUGGAGGCUCAACCUCCAGCCUGCAGUGGGUACGGGCAGACUAGAGUGCGGUAGGGGAGAUUGGAAUUCCUGGUGUAGCGGUGGAAUGCGCAGAUAUCAGGAGGAACACCGAUGGCGAAGGCAGAUCUCUGGGCCGUAACUGACGCUGAGGAACGAAAGCAUGGGGAGCGAACAGG
rnacentral:rRNA from 1 species